rnacentral:rRNA from 1 species
UACAGAGGUCUCAAGCGUUUGUUCGGAUUCAUUGGGCGUAAAGGGCGCGUAGGCUGCGGGGCAAGUCGGGUGUGAAAUCUCAGAGCUCAACUCUGAAAACUGCACUCGAUACUGCUUUGCUCGAGGACUGGAGAGGAGAUUGGAAUUCACGGUGUAGCAGUGAAAUGCGUAGAUAUCGUGAGGAAGACCAGUGGCGAAGGCGGAUCUCUGGACAGUUCCUGACGCUGAGGCGCGAAGGCCAGGGGGAGCAAACGGGG